rnacentral:rRNA from 1 species
GACCAGACUCCUACGGGAGGCAGCAGUGGGGAAUCUUGCACAAUGGGCGAAAGCCUGAUGCAGCGACGCCGCGUGGGCGAAGAAGGCUUUCGGGUUGUAAACUUCUUUUAAGAGGGAAGAGUAGAAGACGGUACCUCUUGAAUAAGCCACGGCUAACUACGUGCCAGCAGCCGCGGUAAUACGUAGGUGGCAAGCGUUAUCCGGAUUUACUGGGUGUAAAGGGAGCGUAGACGGCAUAGCAAGUCUGAAGUGAAAGCCCGUGGCUCAACCGCGGGACUGCUUUGGAAACUGUUAAGCUGGAGUACUGGAGAGGCAAGCGGAAUUCCUAGUGUAGCGGUGAAAUGCGUAGAUAUUAGGAGGAACACCAGUGGCGAAGGCGGCUUGCUGGACAGAGACUGACGUUGAGGCUCGAAAGCGUGGGGAGCAAACAGGAUUAGAUACCCCAGUAA